rnacentral:rRNA from 1 species
GGUUAAGCGACUAAGCGUACACGGUGGAUGCCCUGGCAGUCAGAGGCGAUGAAGGACGUGCUAAUCUGCGAUAAGCGUCGGUAAGGUGAUAUGAACCGUUAUAACCGGCGAUUUCCGAAUGGGGAAACCCAGUGUGAUUCGUCACACUAUCAUUAACUGAAUCCAUAGGUUAAUGAGGCGAACCGGGGAACUGAAACAUCUAAGUACCCCGAGGAAAAGAAAUCAACCGAGAUUCCCCAGUAGCGGCGAGCGAACGGGGAGCAGCCCAGAGCCUGAAUCAGUGUGUGUGUUAGUGGAAGCGUCUGGAAAGGCGCGCGAUACAGGGUGACAGCCCCGUACACAAAAAUGCAUAUACUGUGAGCUCGAUGAGUAGGGCGGGACACGUGGUAUCCUGUCUGAAUAUGGGGGACCAUCCUCCAAGGCUAAAUACUCCUGACUGACCGAUAGUGAACCAGUACCGUGAGGGAAAGGCGAAAAGAACCCCGGCGAGGGGAGUGAAAAAGAACCUGAAACCGUGUACGUACAAGCAGUGGGAGCCUCUUUUAUGGGGUGACUGCGUACCUUUGUAUAAUGGGUCAGCGACUUAUAUUCUGUAGCAAGGUUAACCGAAUAGGGGAGCCGAAGGGAAACCGAGUCUUAACUGGGCGUUAAGUUGCAGGGUAUAGACCCGAAACCCGGUGAUCUAGCCAUGGGCAGGUUGAAGGUUGGGUAACACUAACUGGAGGACCGAACCGACUAAUGUUGAAAAAUUAGCGGAUGACUUGUGGCUGGGGGUGAAAGGCCAAUCAAACCGGGAGAUAGCUGGUUCUCCCCGAAAGCUAUUUAGGUAGCGCCUCGUGAAUUCAUCUCCGGGGUAGAGCACUGUUUCGGCAAGGGGUCAUCCCGACUUACCAACCCGAUGCAAACUGCGAAUACCGGAGAAUGUUAUCACGGGAGACACACGGCGGGUGCUAACGUCCGUCGUGAAGAGGGAAACAACCCAGACCGCCAGCUAAGGUCCCAAAGUCAUGGUUAAGUGGGAAACGAUGUGGGAAGGCCCAGACAGCCAGGAUGUUGGCUUAGAAGCAGCCAUCAUUUAAAGAAAGCGUAAUAGCUCACUGGUCGAGUCGGCCUGCGCGGAAGAUGUAACGGGGCUAAACCAUGCACCGAAGCUGCGGCAGCGACACUAUGUGUUGUUGGGUAGGGGAGCGUUCUGUAAGCCUGUGAAGGUGUGCUGUGAGGUAUGCUGGAGGUAUCAGAAGUGCGAAUGCUGACAUAAGUAACGAUAAAGCGGGUGAAAAGCCCGCUCGCCGGAAGACCAAGGGUUCCUGUCCAACGUUAAUCGGGGCAGGGUGAGUCGACCCCUAAGGCGAGGCCGAAAGGCGUAGUCGAUGGGAAACAGGUUAAUAUUCCUGUACUUGGUGUUACUGCGAAGGGGGACGGAGAAGGCUAUGUUGGCCGGGCGACGGUUGUCCCGGUUUAAGCGUGUAGGCUGGUUUUCCAGGCAAAUCCGGAAAAUCAAGGCUGAGGCGUGAUGACGAGGCACUACGGUGCUGAAGCAACAAAUGCCCUGCUUCCAGGAAAAGCCUCUAAGCAUCAGGUAACAUCAAAUCGUACCCCAAACCGACACAGGUGGUCAGGUAGAGAAUACCAAGGCGCUUGAGAGAACUCGGGUGAAGGAACUAGGCAAAAUGGUGCCGUAACUUCGGGAGAAGGCACGCUGAUAUGUAGGUGAAGUCCCUUGCGGAUGGAGCUGAAAUCAGUCGAAGAUACCAGCUGGCUGCAACUGUUUAUUAAAAACACAGCACUGUGCAAACACGAAAGUGGACGUAUACGGUGUGACGCCUGCCCGGUGCCGGAAGGUUAAUUGAUGGGGUUAGCGGUAACGCGAAGCUCUUGAUCGAAGCCCCGGUAAACGGCGGCCGUAACUAUAACGGUCCUAAGGUAGCGAAAUUCCUUGUCGGGUAAGUUCCGACCUGCACGAAUGGCGUAAUGAUGGCCAGGCUGUCUCCACCCGAGACUCAGUGAAAUUGAACUCGCUGUGAAGAUGCAGUGUACCCGCGGCAAGACGGAAAGACCCCGUGAACCUUUACUAUAGCUUGACACUGAACAUUGAGCCUUGAUGUGUAGGAUAGGUGGGAGGCUUUGAAGUGUGGACGCCAGUCUGCAUGGAGCCGACCUUGAAAUACCACCCUUUAAUGUUUGAUGUUCUAACGUUGGCCCCUGAUCGGGGUUGCGGACAGUGUCUGGUGGGUAGUUUGACUGGGGCGGUCUCCUCCUAAAGAGUAACGGAGGAGCACGAAGGUUGGCUAAUCCUGGUCGGACAUCAGGAGGUUAGUGCAAUGGCAUAAGCCAGCUUGACUGCGAGCGUGACGGCGCGAGCAGGUGCGAAAGCAGGUCAUAGUGAUCCGGUGGUUCUGAAUGGAAGGGCCAUCGCUCAACGGAUAAAAGGUACUCCGGGGAUAACAGGCUGAUACCGCCCAAGAGUUCAUAUCGACGGCGGUGUUUGGCACCUCGAUGUCGGCUCAUCACAUCCUGGGGCUGAAGUAGGUCCCAAGGGUAUGGCUGUUCGCCAUUUAAAGUGGUACGCGAGCUGGGUUUAGAACGUCGUGAGACAGUUCGGUCCCUAUCUGCCGUGGGCGCUGGAGAACUGAGGGGGCUGCUCCUAGUACGAGAGGACCGGAGUGGACGCAUCACUGGUGUUCGGGUUGUCAUGCCAAUGGCACUGCCCGGUAGCUAAAUGCGGAAGAGAUAAGUGCUGAAAGCAUCUAAGCACGAAACUUGCCCCGAGAUGAGUUCUCCCUGACUCCUUGAGAGUCCUGAAGGAACGUUGAAGACGACGACGUUGAUAGGCCGGGUGUGUAAGCGCAGCGAUGCGUUGAGCUAACCGGUACUAAUGAACCGUGAGGCUUAACCUU